CACAUGCACACAAUUACACACAGAGGGAGUCACUGUGCAGCUGUGACGGCUGGACAACACACACACACACACACAGGAGGUGUGUAACGGAUUGAACCCCCCCUCAUAGCUGCGCUGUCUUCGAGGUCGCAGGCGGAUGAGACCACAGCUGCUUGGACAUAAAUUUCCAAAAGGAAUGUCGGAGCACUCGGCAUAAAAACCAAGACUGUGUGUGUGUGUGUGUGAGGAGGAGGAGGAGGAGUGUGUGUGUGUGUGUGUGUGUGUGUGCAGGAGGAGUAGUGUGUGCAGGAGGAGGAGUGUGUGUGUGUGUG
ensembl:lncRNA